rnacentral:lncRNA from 1 species
GCGAGCUGUGACCGGCACCGGCGGGGCCGCCCCCCGCGAGGAACCGCAAGGCACGGCCGCCUCGGGCUACGUGCGGGACCCGCUGCCCGCCGACACCGGCGCUCGGCACGGCUCCGGAAGGCGCUCCCGGGCACGGGGCGCACCGUGCCGCAGAACACGCGCUUCGCUGACGAGAAGGGAUCAGGGGCCGCACGGAACAAAACGGGAAGGCUCUGUGAGGAGAUAUAACCAAGUUGGUAAAGUACUUUGGCUGAGAAUGCUGAAGACGCCAGCUGGGCACCUUCCUCCGGUUCUAACUACAGCACACACGAGGCGCCUGCCUGUGUUUUAUUGCUGCUGUUGCGGGAAUCAUAUACCUACAAAUGAAGCUGGAGCAGUACAGAGGAGCACAGGGAAAGAUACAGAUGCCCAGAUGCUUCAGGAUAGAACACGGGCCUGGGAAAAGGGCAGGCGUUUGGAAUGCUUUCUGCACAAGUUGAGAAAUGUUAUGGAUAAACUAAGUGAAGUUGAAUUACUUUGUUUGAUGCCGGUCCGGAGUAGGCUUCAGUAUAGAAAAUUGAGAUAUGCCCAGCUGCUCCUUCCUAUGCACGUUCACACAGACGUGUGUGAAAAAGAGACCGCUGUGCAUAAGCACGGUGGGAGGGAGAUGGGUCUGUUUGUCUUGCAAGAAUGAAUUCUUGCAGAUGAAUUGUAAUGAUACCACCCUUAUAAGUUCUCUAUAUUGCU